GUCUUCCUUGUCAUGGGGAGCGUAAUACUCAAUGAACGUUUAGUGAGAGUAUUUAUGCUGGCACCAUUGAAUAACUACCCCGUGCAAUGCAAUCCUUCUUUGUAAGUUUGCAUCUGUUCGGAAUUUUUGGAAAG